rnacentral:rRNA from 1 species
GGCUAACCUGCCCUUGGGACGAGACCAACCCCGGGAAACUGGGGCUAAUCCUCGAUAGGUAAAGAACUCUGGAAUGAGUCUUUGCCUAAAAGACGUUGGAUCAUGCUUCCAGCGCCGCCCAAGGAUGGGGCCGCGACCGAUCAGGUCGUUGGUGAGGUAAUGGCCCACCAAGCCUAUAACCGGUGCGGGCCGUGAGAGCGGGAGCCCGGAGAUGGGCACUGAGACAAGGGCCCAGGUCCUACGGGGCGCAGCAGUCGCGAAACCUUUGCAAUACACGAAAGUGUGACAGGGUCAUCCCGAGUGCCGACCGCUGAGGUUGGCUUUUACCCAGUCUAGAAAGCUGGGGGAAUAAGGAGAGGGCAAGUCUGGUGUCAGCCGCCGCGGUAAUACCAGCUCUCCGAGUGGUGUGGACGUUUAUUGGGCCUAAAGCAUCCGUAGCUGGCUGAACAAGUCCCCUGUUAAACCCACCGAUUUAAUCGUUGGUCUGCGGGGGAUACUGCUCGGCUGGGGGACGAGAGAGGCAGACGGUAUUCCCGGGGUAGGGGUGAAAUCCUAUAAUCCCGAGAAGACCACCAGUGGCGAAGGCUGUCUGCUA